UAAAAAAUGAACCUACUAAUCCUCUACAAGUCCAAGAUUCAUCUCACGAGCUAAAACCCAUGACAGAAACUGGGAGUGGAAAGGCAACAUCAAGUCCAAGUCUUUCUGACUUAAAUAUACAAGUAAGGCCACAAGAUGAGCAGCAGAUUAAAGCACAUGCCAGUGAAGAAAAUACAAAUGAAGGUGAAAACAAGCAGCAGCAAAAGCUUUGGGAUGACACUGAUGAAGAUACAGC